AAGCUCGUAGUUGAAUUUCGGGCCUGGCUGGGUGGUCUUGCCGCAAGGUAAGCACUGCUCUGGUUGGGUCUUUCCUUCUGGGGAACCAGCGUGCCCUUAAUUGAGUGCGUUGGGGAUCCAGGACUUUUACUUUGAAAAAAUUAGAGUGUUUAAAGCAGGCUUACGCUUGAAUACAUUAGCAUGGAAUAAUAGAAUAGGACUUUGGUUCUAUUUUGUUGGUUUCUAGGACCGAAGUAAUGAUUAAUAGGGAUAGUUGGGGGCAUUAGUAUUUAAUUGUCAGAGGUGAAAUUCUUGGAUUUAUGAAAGACUAACUUCUGCGAAAGCAUUUGCCAAGGAUGUUUUCAUUAAUCAAGAACGAAAGUUAGGGGAUCGAAGACGAUCAGAUACCGUCGUAGUCUUAACCAUAAACUAUGCCGACUAGGGAUCGGACGAUGUUAUUUUAUUGACUCGUUCGGCACCUUAUGAGAAAUCAAAGUUUUUGGGUUCCGGGGGGAGUAUGGUCGCAAGGCUGAAACUUAAAGGAAUUGACGGAAGGGCACCACCAGGAGUGGAGCCUGCGGCUUAAUUUGACUCAACACGGGGAAA
rnacentral:rRNA from 1 species